GACAGAGGUCCCGAGCGUUAGGCGGAAUCACUGGGCUUAAAGCGUGUGUAGGCGGAUCGUUAAGUGCCUUGUGAAAUCCCAUGGCUUAACCAUGGAACUGCUGGGCAUACUGGCGAUCUUGAGCCACUUAGGGGCUACCGGAACAAAUGGUGGAGCGGUGAAAUGCGUAGAUAUCAUUUGGAACGCCAAUGGUGAAAACAGGUAGCUGGGAGUGUGCUGACGCUGAGACACGAAAGCCAGGGGAGCGAACGGG
rnacentral:rRNA from 1 species